AUACGUAGGUGGCAAGCGUUAUCCGGAAUUAUUGGGCGUAAAGAGUGAGCAGGCGGUUAAUUAAGUCUGAGGUUAAAGCAUGGGGCUCAACCCCAUAAAGCCUUGGAAACUGAUUGACUUGAGUACGGGAGAAGGGAAGGGAAAUCCCUGUGUAGCGGUGAAAUGCGUAGAUAUAUGGAAGAACACCAGUGGCGAAGGCGCUGCACUAGCCCGAAACUGACGCUCAGUCACGAAAGCGUGGGUAGCAAAUAGGAUUAGAUACCCUAGUAGUCCACGCUGUAAACGAUGACAGCUAAAUAUUGCCGCGAGGCAGUGUUGAAGCUAACGCAUUAAGUUGUCCGCCUGGGGAGUACGGUCGCAAGACUGAAACUUAAAGGAAUUGACGGGG
rnacentral:rRNA from 1 species